rnacentral:rRNA from 1 species
AGAGUUUGAUCAUGGCUCAGGACGAACGCUGGCGGCGUGCCUAAUGCAUGCAAGUCGCACGCACGGAGCUUGCUCCGUGAGUGGCGCACGGCUGAGUAUCACGUGGGAACGUGCCCUGGGGUGGGGGAUAACGGUGCGAAAGCGACGCUAAUCCCGCAUACGCUCACUUUGGUGAGGAAAGCAGUAAUGCGCCCGAGGAGCGGCCCGCGGCCCAUCAGGUCGUUGGGGGGGUAAUGGCCUCCCAAGCCGAUGACGGGUAGCUGGUCUGUGAGGACAAUCAGCCAGACUGGGACUGAGACACGGCCCAGACUCCUACGGGAGGCAGCAGCAAGGAAUUUUCGUCAAUGGGCGCAAGCCUGGACGAGCAACGCCGCGUGGUGGAUGACGGCCUUCGGGUUGUAAACACCUUUUGGGGGGGAUGAUGAUGACAGUACCCUCCGAAUCAGGCUCGGCUAACUCUGUGCCAGCAGCCGCGGUAAGACAGAGGAGCCAAGCGUUGUCCGGAUUGACUGGGCGUAAAGCGCACGCAGGCGGGUGCGCGCGUGGGGUGUGAAACCUGGCCGCUUAACGGCCAGCGGCCAUCCCAUACGGCGCGCCUGGAGCCUUGCAGAGGGCGGUGGAAUUGCCGGUGUAGUGGUGAAAUGCGUAGAGAUCGGCAGGAACACCCAGGGAGAAAUCAGCCGCCUGGGCAAGUGCUGACGCUGAGGUGCGAAAGCGUGGGGAGCGAACCGGAUUAGAUACCCUGGUAGUCC